UACGAAGGGGGCUAGCGUUGCUCGGAAUUACUGGGCGUAAAGCGCACGUAGGCGGCUUUCUAAGUCAGGGGUGAAAUCCUGGAGCUCAACUCCAGAACUGCCUUUGAUACUGAGAGCCUUGAGUCCGGAAGAGGUAAGUGGAACUGCGAGUGUAGAGGUGAAAUUCGUAGAUAUUCGCAAGAACACCAGUGGCGAAGGCGGCUUACUGGUCCGGUACUGACGCUGAGGUGCGAAAGCGUGGGGAGCAAACAGG
rnacentral:rRNA from 1 species